CCAAAAGAUAAUCUUUCUUCGAAAGAUCUUUUCCUUUGUGCUGGCUUUGACCGUCUGUACUUUUGGGACUUAAACAUGGCUUCUCGUAAGUCGGUCCCAAAAAUAUUAUACCAACCUUAUGAAAUUUGACUGAACAAUGAACAAAUGAUUUUAAUAAUCUGUUUAAAA
rnacentral:misc_RNA from 1 species